UUGUUAGGCUAACUAAGGGUUGGGGGCCAGUUGUGUUUAUUAGUUUGACUUUGACUGAACACAUGUUCAAUGACAAGGAAGCGAAUGAGGUCCAAGUAACCCAUGGGAAAACUUGGAAAGGUGACACAGAUGAAAAGAAAAUUAUUGGAAAAAUUAUGUCAUUGGUGUAGUGCGCCGAGCCGCCGACGCGGCAUGGCCCUGGCGGCUGCUACAGCACCGAAACGACGAGCGGCGACCGUGACGGCACCACGGUCCAAGAGCAUGAAACGAGGAAUAGUCUGGAACGAGGAAGUCGAAGACGCAUACCGGUUUCAGCUGGCUGGCUUUCGCGAUGCCACCGAGUAUGAGCAUUUUUACGGUGAAGAUCUGCCGGAUCGCUGGCCCAACGGCUUGGUGAAAGUCCUGAAGCUGAAGAGCGGCUACUUCUACUGCUAUAACCGCAAUCGUGAGUGUGCCCACAAGGACAUCCACUGCACCAAGAUCUACAGCUACUAGGUGCACGAUGUACACAUGAGCUGCUUGUGAUCAGCCAUGCAUGACUUCUGCACCUUGUCAACUGUGACCAUGAAGGUGACAGGUGAGAAUAGUCUUCCGCUCGCGCGCUCCAGCACUCUGCUGGUCCCGUUAAAAAAAGUUCACUUCAAACCUUUUUCAGUACGUCGAGCCUGGCCGUCUCAAUUGCAAGCUCCCUCGAUGUACAUCAAGCCUGGCCGUCUCAAUUGCAAGCCCCCUCAGUGUAUGCAGGUCGACUGGAGUAGGGAUUAUGAAACAUGUGAAGGGCAGAACUGAUGCCAGACUGACGUGUGCUCAGAUAGAGAGGCGUCACCUCACAUGAAUAUCCUCAUCAGUUACUCCAUGUUGGAUUGUAUACGCUGGUAGCGUCAUGCUAUUCUCGAGUACAGUGCUUUUCUUGUAGCUCUACUGUAGCCAGCAUGUGUAUGAUAUUCUCGCACCUACUUUAGCUAGCACGUACUCGAAGUAUGUGAUAAUCUCGCAUGCAGUUACUUGCUUAUAAAUCUAGGUCUAAUGCAGCUAGCACUUUCAGUGUAUAACGCUCAGCAUAUAGCAACGGACAUCGACUUUUAUAUUCUUGCACUAACCCCCACCACCACCAGGGGGACUGCCAAUACAUCAUUAUAGCUGCUGCGGUUGUUUCCUUCCAUCUCUUCACUUGCGAGUGCUUCGUUGUGAAGGCACUGCUUGUUGAUCAAGUCUUGAGACUUUCUACUUUGUAUAAUGUGCUGUGUGUAAUGCGCGGGUUUGAUAAAUCUUCCCCAUCCACGUC